GGAAGUGUGGUUCAGUGGUAGAAUGCUUGCCUAGCAUGCAUGAGGCACUGGGUUCAAUCCUCAGCACCA
rnacentral:tRNA from 1 species